UACAGAGGGGGCAAGCGUUGUUCGGAAUUACUGGGCGUAAAGCGUGCGCAGGCGGUUGUGCAAGACAGAUGUGAAAUCCCCCGGGCUCAACCUGGGAAUUGCAUUUGUGACUGCACGGCUAGAGUGUGUCAGGAGGGGGGUAGAAUUCCACGUGUAGCAGUGAAAUGCGUAGAGAUGUGGAGGAAUACCGAUGGCGAAGGCAAUCCCCUGGACCUGUACUGACGCUCAUGCACGAAAGCGUGGGGAGCAAACAGG
rnacentral:rRNA from 1 species